GCGUAGUGGGGGCUACCAUGCCGUGUGUUUGUUUCGAUGCUACUUGGUUUUGAUUUUGUGCUUCUAAAUGUGAACAGAUCAGCAUAUAUACAGUAGUUCAACUGAAAUGAACAAGAACGACAAAUUAAUUCGUUCUAUAUUUAAAAUGGACAUAUUUAUUCACCAGACAAGCACGACUAGGUGGAAUAAAUGAGCUAUCCGCUCGGUGGUGAUACGCCAUCACCUCAGAAGUGAGGAGAGAGUAAAGCACCGGAAACAAGAAACCUGAGCGCGUUAAACAUCUGAAUUCAUCUACAGCCCUUCUGAGAGCAGCUACUUACAAUCAGCAGUGAAAGCUGGAGAAGCAGAAGCGAAAUGAGAGCAAACCACACCGAGACGAGCUCAGCAAAGAUGCCAGGGAGCGUUAUUUGGAUAAAUGAUCGUCUGUUAACGGCAACGAUGAGCUAAGUUGGUUGCGAGCUGGUGGAAAAGUGACCGUGUUGCUCUUGUAGCGGUGAAUGUUUGUAUUCUCCAUGCUGCGUUUUGUCUGUGUCUAUUUACAAGCCCAAAUAAAGUACUUAUACUGAAGUUUUA